rnacentral:rRNA from 1 species
GACGAACGCUGGCGGCGUGCUUAACACAUGCAAGUCGAACGGAAAGGCCCUGCUUUUGUGGGGUGCUCGAGUGGCGAACGGGUGAGUAACACGUGAGUAACCUGCCCUUGACUUUGGGAUAACUUCAGGAAACUGGGGCUAAUACCGGAUAGGAGCUCCUGCUGCAUGGUGGGGGUUGGUAAGUUUCGGCGGUUGGGGAUGGACUCGCGGCUUAUCAGCUUGUUGGUGGGGUAGUGGCUUACCAAGGCUUUGACGGGUAGCCGGCCUGAGAGGGUGAACGGCCACAUUGGGACUGCGAUACGGCCCAGAAUGCUACGGUAGGCAGCAGGGGGGAAUAUUGCACAACGGGCGGAAGCCUGAGGCAGCAACGCCGCGUGCGGGAUGACGGGCUUCGGGUUGUAAACCGCUUUGGACUGUGACGAAGCGGGAGUGACGGUAAUGGGUAAAGAAGCACCGGCUAACUACGUG